rnacentral:lncRNA from 1 species
GCAACCUAACGAGAGCCUAGCGUAUUGUUGGGUGAAUGAGCGAAUGCCAACAGAGGGAUGCAUCGUGUCUCGGUACUUGCCAUGACACAACACAGUGGGAGAGAUUGGAGCUUUGGUCAGUCAGAAGUUGGCAGCAACAAGAUCUGAGAUUUGAGACACCAGCCCCGAACCCCGGAACUCGUUGCAGCACACCUCGGCAGCUUCCGUGGGCUUUCCACAGGCUACGAGAACUCAGAGCACAACUGCUCUGUUUUACAUAAAUAAAAGCUUCACUUGGCAAA